GUGAGGAAUAUUGGUCAAUGGGCGAGAGCCUGAACCAGCCAAGUCGCGUGAAGGAUGAAGGUUUUAUGAAUUGUAAACUUCUUUUGCAGGGGAAUAAAGUACGGUACGUGUACCGUUUUGUAUGUACUCUGCGAAUAAGGAUCGGCUAACUCCGUGCCAGCAGCCGCGGUAAUACGGAGGAUCCAAGCGUUAUCCGGAUUUAUUGGGUUUAAAGGGUGCGCAGGCGGGUUGAUAAGUCAGCGGUGAAAGUUUGCAGCUUAACUGUAAAAUUGCCGUUGAAACUGUCGAUCUUGAGUGCAAAUGAGGUAAACGGAAUGUGUUGUGUAGCGGUGAAAUGCUUAGAUAUAACACAGAACACCGAUUGCGAAGGCAGCUUACUGGGAUGCAACUGACGCUCAUGCACGAAAGCGUGGGGAUCAAACAGGAUUAGAAACCCCGGUAGUCC
rnacentral:rRNA from 1 species